rnacentral:rRNA from 1 species
UGGAGAGUUUGAUCCUGGCUCAGGACGAACGCUGGCGGCGUGCCUAAUACAUGCAAGUCGAGCGGAGUUGAUGAGGUGCUUGCACCUCUGAUACUUAGCGGCGGACGGGUGAGUAACACGUGGGUAACCUGCCUAUAAGACUGGGAUAACAUUCGGAAACGAAUGCUAAUACCGGAUACGCGAUAUGGUCGCAUGACUGAAUCGGGAAAGAUGGAGCAAUCUAUCACUUAUAGAUGGACCCGCGGCGCAUUAGCUAGUUGGUGAGGUAACGGCUCACCAAGGCGACGAUGCGUAGCCGACCUGAGAGGGUGAUCGGCCACACUGGGACUGAGACACGGCCCAGACUCCUACGGGAGGCAGCAGUAGGGAAUCUUCCGCAAUGGACGAAAGUCUGACGGAGCAACGCCGCGUGAGUGAUGAAGGUUUUCGGAUCGUAAAGCUCUGUUGCCAGGGAAGAAUGCUUGGGAGAGUAACUGCUCUCAAGGUGACGGUACCUGAGAAGAAAGCCCCGGCUAACUACGUGCCAGCAGCCGCGGUA